rnacentral:rRNA from 1 species
UACGGAGGGAGCUAGCGUUAUUCGGAAUUACUGGGCGUAAAGCGCACGUAGGCGGCUUUGUAAGUAAGAGGUGAAAGCCCAGAGCUCAACUCUGGAAUUGCCUUUUAGACUGCAUCGCUUGAAUCAUGGAGAGGUCAGUGGAAUUCCGAGUGUAGAGGUGAAAUUCGUAGAUAUUCGGAAGAACACCAGUGGCGAAGGCGGCUGACUGGACAUGUAUUGACGCUGAGGUGCGAAA